UGUAUAAAUUUGUUUUGGAAACCGACGAAGCUUAUAUUAUGUUGAUUAGUUUUUUUUUCUUAUUUAUUUAUUUUUUUUUUGUCAUAUCUCUCCUGUUGAUCUCGUAACACGCAGCCCGAUAGAAAUUUCGUAAAAACGCGAUUAUUCGAUUUUAUACGCCGUGUUGCAGUGGACUCCCGCAUCCCGGCGUUACGGUAUUUCCAUAUUACUAUGCUACUUACGUAUAGAUUCCAUAAAUAAUUUCGAUCAAUAACAUUGCGUAUUGCAAUAACACCACAGACAAUAAUAAUAAUAAUGUUAUUAUUAUAUUAACUAUAUGCGUUAAAAAACCCAUCGUUUUCGAGAAACGCGAGUUUCCGUCUAAAAACCUAGAAUGUACAAAUCUGGAAUAUGGGCCUUUACGGAUAUCGGACAUUUGAAAUGUAUACAAAUUUACAAAUUUAAAAUGAUUGGAUUCCGACGAAAUCAUUGCAGUUAUCGAUGGUUUUAGGCAACCGAUAAAUGCAAUUCGAACGUUUUGUUUUCCAGACGUGUACGGUUCGGAUUUAGAUUUUUGUAAAAAAAAAAACAACCUCGGAUUUACGCGUUCCGCAAUUGUCACGUGUUUUUACGCACUCUCCGCGGGGACGACGAACACGGUGCGCGAUUCUCUAGAAUGCAAUUCACUCGGAAUCCGCCGGGAAAAUCGCCGGAUCGAUCGAUCGCGAUAAAACGAUCUUCCCGUACGUAUAAUUACGGCGGCGGCAACGAUAACGUCGCCGCCGCCGCCGCCGCCGUCGAGGCGGGUCCCGGUUUAAACACGCAACGGCGCGCUAUGAUAACGUUAAUAUUUUAUAAUAAAACCGUUCGGUCGCCGACGUGCGGCGACACCGAUCGCGCCACGACCGCGACCGGAGCAAAACGAUAUUACGCCGCCCGUCUAGCCGAGGGCCGUUAUUCUAUUGCGCGCGUCUCGGUCCGCCGCCGCCGCCGCCGCCGCCGCCAUCAUUGAAAACGGUGCCGUUUUAACGAUUUCCACGCGUCGUUCGGCGGCCGUGUAAACGUACUUACAUCGCUUUUUUUUUUUUUUUUUUUUUUUUUUACGACUCUAGGUAUAAUCCCGAGCAUCCAUUUUAUACGUAUAUUCUGUAACGCCGAUAUCACGUUUAUAGGUUAUAUAGAUUGUUGGUGUUUUUUUUUUUUUUUUAUUUUCUAAUGUACACACGUCGUAAAAACAUUAUUCGACUUUUAAUACACGUCUCGGCCGUAUAUAAAGUCCGCGCGUGGCACGCCGACGUCGCCGUCCAUCGCCGUGGACUAUAAAUUGGUACCUGCCUGCGUUGUCUAUAAAUUCGGUUCGAGAUUUCAUUUUUUUUUUUUUUUUUUUUAAUUAGUUGUAAUGCCUAUACAAACGAGGGACCGAGAAACGACUUUGUAGACACCGUCGUUAAUAAUAAAACUUAGGUACCGCACGUAUUAAAAUCGCCGGAGAAUUUUUUCCGAAGAAUUUAAUUUUAAAUUAAUUUCCGUCGGAUAACUAAGAUGACGUUGACCUACACGCCUGCGGUAUUCACGCAUUUUUUUCGCGCACCUCGCUCUAAAAAUAAUAUCGUCAUGUAUUUUCGGCGCUGUAGUUGGUCACCGAUUCACAGAUAUAUACAACGAUUCUGUUCGGUGAGUGAAUCGGCUCGGUAGUUAUCACAUAUAUAUUAUAUACCGAGAGGUCGAAUUGUAAUUGCGAAACCCGUGCGAUAUUUGUUUAUGCCCGCGAAUUAUGUGGUCAUAUGAAAAAUCACUAUUGCUAUCAAUCUCGUUUCCGCGUUAUAAUAAUAUCCGUGUAACCGUAAAAUCCAAUAAUAAUCAAUAUCUCAACGCCGGAACGAAACAAAAACGAGUACAAUAUAAUACCCCGUAAAAACUGCAGAACAUGCGACGAUUACAGUAACAACUGUCCG